rnacentral:rRNA from 1 species
AGUGAAUGCUGGCGGUAGGCCUAACACAUGCAAGUCGAACGGCAGCACAGUAAGAGCUUGCUCUUACGGGUGGCGAGUGGCGGACGGGUGAGGAAUACAUCGGAAUCUACUUUUUCGUGGGGGAUAACGUAGGGAAACUUACGCUAAUACCGCAUACGACCUACGGGUGAAAGCAGGGGAUCUUCGGACCUUGCGCGAUUGAAUGAGCCGAUGUCGGAUUAGCUAGUUGGCGGGGUAAAGGCCCACCAAGGCGACGAUCCGUAGCUGGUCUGAGAGGAUGAUCAGCCACACUGGAACUGAGACACGGUCCAGACUCAUAAGGGAGGCAGCAGUGGGGAAUAUUGGACAAUGGGCGCAAGCCUGAUCCAGCCAUACCGCGUGGGUGAAGAAGGCCUUCGGGUUGUAAAGCCCUUUUGUGGGGAAAGAAAAGCAGCAGGUUAAUACCCCGCUGUUCUGACGGUACCCAAAGAAUAAGCACCGGCUAACUUCGUG